GUUCGAGAGUUUUCGUGUGGCACGCUUUACUACAGAACGUUCUUUGUGGACUCCAAGAGAGAUGCUCUCUACGUCGGUGCUAUGGACCGAUUGUACCGGCUCAAUAUGAACAACAUUAGCGCAUCGCAUUGUGAGAGAGAUUCUAUAAACUUGGAGCCGAGCAACGUAGCGCAAUGCGUUUCAAAGGGCAAAUCGGAG
rnacentral:lncRNA from 1 species